rnacentral:rRNA from 1 species
AGUGAACGCUGGCGGUAGGCCUAACACAUGCAAGUCGAACGGCAGCACAGUAAGAGCUUGCUCUUACGGUUGGCGAGUGGCGGACGGGUGAGGAAUACAUCGGAAUCUACUUUUUCUUGGGGGAUAACGUAGGGAAACUUACGCUAAUACCGCAUACGACCUACGGGUGAAAGCAGGGGAUCUUCGGACCUUUCGCGAUUGAAUGAGCCGAUGUCGGAUUAGCUAGUUGGCGGGGUAAGGGCCCACCAAGGCGACGAUCCGUAGCUGGUCUGAGAGGAUGAUCAGCCACACUGGAACUGAGACACGGUCCAGACUCCUACGGGAGGCAGCAGUGGGGAAUAUUGGACAAUGGGCGCAAGCCUGAUCCAGCCAUACCGCGUGGGUGAAGAAGGCCUUCGGGUUGUAAAGCCCUUUUGUUGGGAAAGAAAAGCAGCAGGUUAAUACCCCGCUGUUCUGACGGUACCCAAAGAAUAAGCACCGGCUAACUUCGUG